rnacentral:rRNA from 1 species
AUACGAAGGUGGCUAGCGUUGUUCGGUGUCACUGGGCUUAAAGCGCUUGUAGGCGGAGUCGUAAGUGUCUUGUGAAAUCCCCCGGCUCAACCGGGGAAUGGCUGGGCAUACUGCGAUUCUUGAGGCAAGUAGGGGUGCAUGGAACUCUUGGUGGAGCGGUGGAAUGCGUAGAUAUCAAGAGGAACGCCGAUGGUGAAGACAGUGCACUGGGCUUGUCCUGACGCUGAGGAGCGAAAGCGUGGGGAGCAAACAGGAUUAGAUACCCUGGUAGUCCACGCCCUAAACUAUGUUUACUAGGUUGUGGAGGUUCUGACGCCCUCACAGUCGAAGCAAAAGUGUUAAGUAAACCGCCUGGGGAGUACGGUCGCAAGGCUAAA